UCACCAGCGUUGGGAAACUCGCCAUUGAACUCCCCUGAAACUGACCCUCAGCUAAAAUAUGGGAAAUGUCAGUCCCAUCGCUUCUGCCGUCCUAAUAUUGAAUUGGAUGGCAUUUCAAUACUGGAUAGGCAGUCCGCUAAUUUAGCCACAGUGGAAGAGGCGAUGGUGGAGUGAAGUUGGGCAUUUGUAAGCGUACAUGUGAAAAGUAAUGCUGUGCUUUCCGACUUAUAAAGAGACAUAUUAAUGAAAGACCUUCCCUCACAACGACUCGUGAAUUGAGAGAGGGGAAAAUUCACCUCAGGUGAUAGCCAGCUUGGGAUCACAACACUUUGAAAAAGUAUCUCCAUUGUGGCAGCAGUGAGAGGCUAAAGUUCAAGGCACGUUGUCAAACCCGGACACAGUAGAGAAAAAGUCAUAUCAAAUCGGGUACCAUACAAAAACUUCACAAUGCAGAAGAAAAAUCAACAGCUGGUUUCAGAAAAGCGAGAUUAAAGAGAAGAAAGGAAGUCAUUAAAAAAUGUGAAAUAUCUCUCAGGUGGCAGUAAAGGAACUGAUCACCGAAUUCAUACGCCAAAUCCACUCGAACUCAGGGAGGAGUUCCGUGGAAGACCAGUCCCCAUCUGUGCACAAUUUAAUGUGAAGUGGAUAAGGCCCAUUUGGAAUUGGUGAAGGCCCGAUGUGGAUCAAAGCAUUCCUGCAGCUUGAAUAAUAUCCAAGGUUACAUUGGAAAGUGCCAAAUUCGAAUUUACUGGAAUAAUUGUUGCACCUAACUGGCAUCAAUACUAUUCAUGAGGGACAUCAAGAAACAAUAAAGAUCAAACAAAGUA